AUAGAAAAGCAUAGCGCGUUUGAAUCCGCACAUGCGCGUUUGGACAAGUCUAACUGCGCACUUUGGAUCUGAGACGAGACGAAUUGGCGGGCUGCUGCGUGGCUGCUUUCUGUCGUGUUUGAGAUCAAGGAGGAAUUCAGGAGAAUCGAUCAUGGGGCAGAGAUUCAUGUUCAGACUUGACCAAUGCACAUCAAGACUUAUUGCCCUGAUGAAGGCCAUGGGAGGUGUUGUGGGGACCAACUGAGGCCAUUUCUGGACAAACUGAGUCAGACACAAAGCCUUGAGAUGGGAAUCAGUUAUCCGCAGCCUCAUUCUCUACUUUGACGAUAAAGAAGAUGAUAAACUGUGUUUUGAAGAUGAACAGAGUUCUGACGGGCUCGGGACGACAUGAGGGAGGACAGCGGCAGUGACAUCACUCAGCACAGCAUUAAAAUACUGGUCGUUAGUGGUGCUGAUGGAGAAGAUCCAAUCGAUGUAUCCAUCCUUUUUGAAGGGAAGGAAAUGCUGGAAGCAGCAAUACCGUAAAGACAGUUUUACUGAAUGCACCUGUGUCAAGAGAUGACUGAAUGUCCAUUCUUGUAUGAACAUUUUUGAUGACUGAAAAAUAAACUGUUUAAUUGAA